GACACUGCUGUAGAAGAGGAACCCCUCAAACUUACAGUAUUACCUUCUCCAGAGGAAGCUGAUGGACCGGAAAUAGGUAUAAAUAACACGUGCAUUUAACAUGUUGGCUCCAGAGAUUACGGAGGCUGAGAAGUUCCAUGAUCUUCCAUCUACUGGCGCAUAGUCCUGAGAGCCAAGAAGGCAAAAGUACAGAACAUAGAACGUAGUCUAGUCUGAAGAUGAGACACAGAGACAAUAGAUGUCCCAACUCACUCAGGCAGACAAAGCUCACUCAACUUUCCUCCAGCCUCUUGUCCUGUUCAAGCCCCCCAUCUGCCCUACACAGUCCACCAGUACGAAUUCUAAUUUUUUUUUUCUGGAAAUAUCUUCAUAGACAAGCCUGUAACAGGGUUUAGUCAACUAUCUGGCUAGCCCACGAUGCACUGAAGAUGAUACAUAAAAUCAGCCACCAUGCCCUUCAUCUAUGGUAAAAAACAGUCCCCGAUUUCUGAUGGCUUACACAGUAAUUUUAAACAGCUGAAGCUGGCCUGCUGCAGAGUGCCAUCGCUCCCAUCAGUCACGUGAACAGCAGAGGAAAACGCCGAUAUUUCACAAGAGAGCAGUCACAGGACAGCGAAGGCAGGCUGGAAAGAAAGAGUCAUCAGACUACUGUGAAGCUGGGAGGAAAAAGAGGGCUGUCCAUUUGGGGAGGCAGAAGCAGUCCUAAAGCACCCAUGAAGUGGACGUAAGACGUGCAUAUUUGGAGGCUGGGCAGAUGGCUCAGUGGUUAAGAGCUUUGGGGGCUCUUUCAGACUAGAGUCUGGUACCCAGCCCUCUCAAGGGGUGGUUCACAACUGCCUCAAACUCCAGCUUCAAGGGAUAUAAUGCCCUCUUCUGGCCUCCCUGAGCACCUGCAUGUACUUGCAUAAAGACAUAUACACAUCAAUAAAAAAUUAAAAUUCUUGCUUUAUAAAAAAAGAAUAUGCAUAUUUGCCAAAUGAUAUUCAAACACCACAGCCUCUGAAAAUCAAUUCAUCUACUGGAGUUAUGAUUUUAAGAUAGGAAGUUAUGUCAUAGCUUAAUUAUGAUAGUGACCACAAGGCUGCCAAUCACCCACAUGACCCCACUGAGUGGCAAGACAACACCCCUGAAAAAGGAUCUUGGUGACUAGAAAGUGUCUCAGGUGGGUUAGGAAACAAUUCCUUUCUCUGGAACUGUGCAGAUGUCAGUACACGAGUCCUCAGAGAUUAAUUUGAUAGGGGAAUUCAAGGAUUUGAACAAUGUAUAGAAAGGUCCCAGUAUAAACCUGGAGCAAAUCUCAAUUUCUAGUCCAGAAAACAUCCCAAAGCAAAUCUCUUUGCCCACUUUGAAUGUAUUUCCUUUUCAGGCUCCACAGAUGUCCUUUCUCAUAAAUUCAAAAGUAUCUGCACGUUCCAAGGUGAGUUGGGAAUCUUCCUUUUAUUGCCAGCAGUUUGCUGGCGGAUCCGACAUUAAAAAAAAAUACAGCACUCACUUUCAAGAGGGUGACCCUCUUUCCCAGUCCUUCCCUAAACUUCUUCCAAUUCCAUUUGCUCUCCUCACCUCUGUGUUUACGGUUAGUGUUCCCAGGGGUAUCUGAAGACCCUUCUAGAUGUUAGGACUUCUCGUUCAGAUGGGUAAGGAUGCAUUCUUCCCUCCAAAUUGCCUCAUAGAGAGACAGCAUCUGUCUAAGGCUAAAAGAGUCUCUAGAGAACUUAUUUUAGCUGUGUGCCAACUAUCCCAUUUUGCAUGCUUCCUGGGAAAAACACAAUACACCCCGUCUCUGCAGGAGGAAGCAACAGAGAGAUUGGUUCCAUGGAAACAUCUCAAAGGAAAUUUAUAAUGCUGUUGGGAAAUUUCAGCCCUUUAAAGCAAGCUGGUUUGUGAGCACAGGAAGCAAAUUUUUAUCGCUUCGUGACUAUGUCUUCUGUCAUGCAUUUUUUUUUGGGGGGAAGGAGGAAGGACAGCAGUCCCAGGUCCAGUGGUCUCUCCUUAUUGGCAUGUGUGGGAGAGUAUUUUGAAAGACCAUUAGUUCUUGACCUUGAACAGAAUAUGUGCUUUCCAGGAGAAAGUCCUUGCACGUGUGUGAGCAUAUCCACAUGCUCUACAUGACCUGCAGAGAUGGUUAGUUCCCUAUGAACAAGCUUCCCUCUACUUUCUUAUAUGUCACUGGGGCCAGAAACAAAAAUGCCCCCCUAAGAAUGUAUCCCUCCCCCAUAUCUUCCAGCAGUUAAGGAUAGAGAGUUAACCAAACUCUGGCAUAUGCAUGGGAUCUGGCAGGAGCAGCCAAUCUUUUGACAUUCCGUUUGUCAUCGACAAAGUUCACACGAGAACCAUGGAGUCCAGCUCCCCCCAAAAAGUUUCCAAAUCUCAUAAUGUUCUAAGUAAGCUCACAAUUUUGUAGGGGCACAAUUAUAGCUACCCUGGCACGCAUGUGGCCCACAGGCCAUAGGUUGGGUAUACCUGUAGGAAUUUCUGUGGCACCAGAAAAAUAGAUAGAAAACUUCCUCUGCUAGGUUGUGUAGUGGGUAGCCAUUCCAGCUUUGAUCUGGAAGUUCCACCCCCAUUGAGACUUUGGCAACUGUCACGCCUACAAGGUGGGGCCAAGGGAGGCGCCUGGAGACCUGAGAUCUGGAUGGGUGGUACACGGGGACCUUGGACGGUGAUGGUGGGCCAAGCAGAGCUCCGGAGAACACUGCUGGACUGCGAUACACCUUCCCCAGACCCUGUGACCUACCUAUCCCUUAACUUGUAAGUUACGCCAUUAAAUAAAUCUCCUUUUAACUACAUGGAGUGGCCUUAAUAAUUUCACCAAUAUCUGGCGCCCAACGUGGGGCACGAACCCAUGACCUUGGGAUUAAGAGUCCCAUGGAGAAUUGAGGAAGGAAAAAGGGAAGGAGAGACCGGUUGGAGCCACCGCCAAGACAAGGAAGAUGUAAAGUACCGGUAAGCCGCGAGCCACAUGGCAAAGUAAAGAUUAAUAGAAAUGGGCUGAAUAUAAGAGUGAGAGCUAGACAAUGAUAGGCCUGAGCUAAUGGCCAAGCAGUUUAAAUAAUGUAAGAGUCUGUGUGUUUAUUUUAUAAGUGGGCUCUGGGACUGGCGGGACUUGGCGGUGGUCUCCAGCUACAAAUGGCGCCCAAUGUAGUGGCAAGAGUUUCCACCUAAAAACUGAGAAAAAAAGAUUCUAAAAUGGAGCUAAAAACAGCUUCCUAAUUGUCUCUCUCAAAUGAGCGGCAGCUGCUGGUUUGAGCUACUUGUGGGUUCCUAGAGUAUGCCCUAUGGCGGGAAUGAGGCCUCUGCAAGUAGCACAUUAAGCUGCAUGGUGGAUUUAGCCUUUGCUAGUACAAAACAAAAAAAAGAGGUUUCUGGGCUACAUGCUGCUUGGAUAAAAGCAUAGACCCACGAUAGCUCCCAGAGCUGGUUAAACCACCACCAUGUUGGGAAGCUGAGGUGGGUGGAGCCAGCAGCCACAGCUGCUACAGUUUAAAGCAAUAGAUUCACAAUAAGACAGAUUCAGAUGUAAUAGUUUACAAUGUGUGUAAAAGAUAUGUAGGCUUGAAAGAGACAAAAAAAGGUGAUAUAUAGAGUUAUAGAAACAAAUACAUAGUUUUAAAAAGUAAAGUCUUUAAAGAGACAGUAAAGGUAGUAUAAAAAAUAAGCCACGUAAAAAUGGAUAUUACACAGAGAAUCUGGAUUGUGUUGUCUUUGGGAUUUUUAACUGCAGAAAAACAUUUGAUCAUAAAAGAUGUUGAGUUAAACCAAUAUGUAUAUUUUAAAGAUACCAUGACUUCAAAAUUUGGAUAUAAGGAUAUGUUGCUUUGGAAAAGAAUCUCUGCUUUUGUUCCCACAGAAAGCCAGAGGCUAUGGAUUUGUUCCAGAUUAAGAUACAUCAGGUUUGACCAGCCAAGACCCCCUGAAAGGUCUCUGAUGACACCAUGGCCCAGAUGAUCCAACAUCCAGAAUGGUUUGAAGGCAAUUGGCUCAGACAAUACAGCCUCAUGGACUAUUCCAUAAUCCUAAAAUUUUCUUUGUGUCCCCAUAAGAUACAGCGCCCCCCUCCAGCAGGAAGUAGUAAGAGAAGCUACGCCCAAAUUCCCAAAUUAUAUGUAAUUUUACUUUGUAAAGGUUAAAACCUUCCUUUUUGAAAAAAAAAAGGGGAAAGUGCUGUGGGAUGUUCUGUAUGGCAAAUGUGUUGCUGAUUGGUCAAUAAAUAAAACACUGAUUGGCCAUUGGCUAGGCAGGAAGUGUAGGCGGGACAAGGAGGAGAAUAAAGCUGGAAAGUGGAAGGCUGAGUCAGAGAGACACUGCCAGCCACCAUGAUGACAAACAGCAUGUGAAGAUGCCGGUAAGCCAUGAGCCAUGUGGCAAGGUAUAGAUUUAUGGAAAUGGAUUAAUUUAAGCUGUAAGAACAGUUAGCAAGAAGCCUGCCACGGCCAUACAGUUUAUAACCAAUAUAAGUCUCUGUGUUUACUUGGUCGGGUCUGAGUGGCUGUGGGACUGGCAGGUGAGAGAGAUUUGUCCUGACUGUGGGCCAGGCAGGAAAACUCUAGCUACAAGGUUGUUCCUCCUUCUUUGGACCUGCAGGCUGGAAAUUCACCUAUCCUACUGAAUGGCCCAUGAGCUGGUAUAAUACUCUUUUAGCUAAGGGUAGCAAUGAAGAAAGACAGAAGGAGCCUUGUU